CCUCUAUUUGAGGAAGACUGUCAAGAGGUUACAGCAUUGCUUGUCACUACAGCAUGAAGCUGAAGAGGUUACCAAUAAGAUCCUAAGGGCAAUCUGCCAUUGCUGGGAAGAUCUCCCAUUCUACAGUCAACCCUACUGCUUUUGUUAGCUAUUCCAUUGGGUGACCUUUCUAAGGCCUCUUGUCACCUGUCACAGCUCAUCUCCUGUUCUCAUUCUUUAAAUUCAGGAGGAAGAGAAAAAAAAAAGAAAACAACAAUAUGUGGAUAUUCCAAGUCAUGGCAAAUGAGGAGCAUGAGACAAGGAACAAAAAAGUCAACAGAAAUAAUGUAAAAUACAGCUAUGAUCAGAAGCCUUGGCACCAGUUCAGAGAAAUAUACAAAGAGAUCAUACUGUUUUCCGACGAUAGUCAUGGCUUAGAAGUUGCUC